rnacentral:piRNA from 1 species
GUGAGAGAGAGAGGGAAGAGGGAGAA